GACGAACGCUGGCGGCGUGCUUAACACAUGCAAGUCGAACGAUGAACCCGGAGCUUGCUCCGGCGGAUUAGUGGCGAACGGGUGAGUAACACGUGAGUAACCUGCCCUUGACUCUGGGAUAACUGCUAGAAAUGGUAGCUAAUACCGGAUACGACCCUCGGCGGCAUCGCCAGGGGGUGGAAAGAAUUUCGGUCAAGGAUGGACUCGCGGCCUAUCAGCUAGUUGGUGAGGUAACGGCUCACCAAGGCGACGACGGGUAGCCGGCCGGAGAGGGUGGACGGCCACACUGGGACUGAGACGCGGCCCAGACUCCUACGGGAGGCAGCAGUGGGGAAUAUUGCACAAUGGGCGCAAGCCUGAUUCAGCAACGCCGCGUGAGGGAUGACGGCCUUCGGGUUGUAAACCUCUUUUAGUAGGGAAGAAGCGAAAGUGACGGUACCUGCAGAAAAAGCACCGGCUAACUACGUGCCAGCAGCCGCAGUAA
rnacentral:rRNA from 1 species